rnacentral:rRNA from 1 species
UGGGGAAUUUUGGACAAUGGGGGAAACCCUGAUCCAGCCAUGCCGCGUGCAGGAUGAAGGCCUUCGGGUUGUAAACUGCUUUUGUACGGAACGAAAAGGUUCAUUCUAAUAAAGUGAGCCCAUGACGGUACCGUAAGAAUAAGCACCGGCUAACUACGUGCCAGCAGCCGCGGUAAUACGUAGGGUGCAAGCGUUAAUCGGAAUUACUGGGCGUAAAGCGUGCGCAGGCGGUUAUGUAAGACAGAUGUGAAAUCCCCGGGCUCAACCUGGGAACUGCAUUUGUGACUGCAUAGCUUGAGUGCGGCAGAGGGGGAUGGAAUUCCGCGUGUAGCAGUGAAAUGCGUAGAUAUGCGGAGGAACACCGAUGGCGAAGGCAAUCCCCUGGGCCUGCACUGACGCUCAUGCACGAAAGCGUGGGGAGCAAACA